AAGGAUCAUUAUCGAGUUCGGGUCCUCUGGGCCCCGUCUCCAACCCUUGUCUAUUCUACCAUGUUGCUUCGGCGGGCCCGUCCUGCACCGGACCGCUGGGGAUUUACGUUCCUGGCCCGUGCCCGUCAGUAGCCCCCAGAAAUUCUUGUCACAGUGAUGUCUAAGUAUGUCUAUAAUAACUAAAACUUUCAACAACGGAUCUCUUGGUUCUGGCAUCGAUGAAGAACGCAGCGAAAUGCGAUAAGUAAUGCGAAUUGCAGAAUUCCGUGAGUCAUCGAAUCUUUGAACGCACAUUGCGCCCUCUGGUAUUCCGGAGGGCAUGCCUGUUCGAGCGUCAUUAUCAACCCUCAAGCUCGGCUUGCUGUUGGGUCUCACCGUGGCAGAAACGGUGGAUCCCAAAGAUAAUGGCAGAGUCCGUGGGGACCCUAGAUGCAGCGAGCUUCUAGCACGCGUCUGGAUGGUUUCCGGGUUCGGUCUUAACCAAUUGACUUCUGGUUGACCUCGGAUCAGGUAGGGAUACCCGCUGAACUUAA
rnacentral:rRNA from 1 species